rnacentral:tRNA from 1 species
GGAUGGGUAGCUCAGCUGGAUAGAGUGUUGGCCUCCGAAGCCAAAGGCCGCGGGUUCGAAUCCCGCCCCGUCCACCA